UGGGGAAUAUUGCACAAUGGGCGCAAGCCUGAUGCAGCCAUGCCGCGUGUGUGAAGAAGGCCUUCGGGUUGUAAAGUACUUUCAGCGGGGAGGAAGGGAGUAAAGUUAAUACCUUUGCUCAUUGACGUUACCCGCAGAAGAAGCACCGGCUAACUCCGUGCCAGCAGCCGCGGUAAUACGGAGGGUGCAAGCGUUAAUCGGAAUUACUGGGCGUAAAGCGCACGCAGGCGGUUUGUUAAGUCAGAUGUGAAAUCCUCGGGCUCAACCUGGGAACUGCAUCUGAUACUGGCAAGCUUGAGUCUCGUAGAGGGGGGUAGAAUUCCAGGUGUAGCGGUGAAAUGCGUAGAGAUCUGGAGGAAUACCGGUGGCGAAGGCGGCCCCCUGGACGAAGACUGACGCUCAGGUGCGAAAGCGUGGGGAGCAAACAGG
rnacentral:rRNA from 1 species